rnacentral:rRNA from 1 species
CCUACGGGAGGCAGCAGUGGGGAAUAUUGGGCAAUGGAGGCAACUCUGACCCAGCAAUGCCGCGUGAGUGAUGAAGGUAAUUUUAUUGUAAAGCUCUUUUCUUUGGAACGAAUAAAUGACGGUACCAAAGGAAUAAGCCCCGGCUAACUACGUGCCAGCAGCCGCGGUAAUACGUAGGGGGCAAGCGUUGUUCGGAAUGACUGGGCGUAAAGGGUGUGUAGGUGGUUUGAUAAGUUAGAUGUGUAAUACCCAGGGCUUAACUCGGGUGCUGCAUCUAAAACUGUUAGACUUGAGUACUGGAGAGGAUAGUGGAAUUCCUAGUGUAGCGGUGGAAUGCAUAGAUAUCACGCAGAACCCCGAUUGCGAAGGCAGCAUGCCGGCUUCCGACUGACGCUGAAGCACGAAAGCGUGGGGAUCGAACAGGAUUAGAUACCCUUGUAGUC